rfam:Salmo salar isolate Sally breed double haploid chromosome ssa16, whole genome shotgun sequence.
GAAUGUAUUAAAUGUAAGUCGCUCUAGAUAAGAGCGUCUGCUAAAUGACUAGAA